GCCUCGGGGAGCUGUAAGCAAGCUUUGAUCCGGGGAUGUCCGAAUGGGGAAACCCGGCUGUCUUCAUCGACAGUCACUACUCACUGAAUUCAUAGGUGAGUGAGAGGCAGACCAGGGGAACUGAAACAUCUAAGUACCCUGAGGAAGAGAAAACAAUAGUGAUUCCGUCAGUAGCGGCGAGCGAACGCGGAUUAGCCCAAACCAAGGAGCUUGCUCCUUGGGGUUGUGGGACGUCUCACAUGGAGUUACAAAGGAACCGGUUAGAUGAAGAGGUCUGGAAAGGCCCGCCAGAGAAGGUAAAAGCCCUGUAGUUCAAAACUUGUUCCCUCCGAGACGGAUCCCGAGUAGUGCGGGGCACGUGAAACCCCGUAUGAAUCCGGCAGGACCAUCUGCCAAGGCUAAAUACUCCCUGGCGACCGAUAGUGAAGCAGUACCGUGAGGGAAAGGUGAAAAGCACCCCGGAAGGGGAGUGAAAUAGAUCCUGAAACCGUGUGCUUACAAGAAGUCAGAGCCCGAUCUAUGGGUGAUGGCGUGCCUUUUGUAGAAUGAACCGGCGAGUUACGUUCCCGUGCAAGGUUAAGGUGAAGAGCUGAAGCCGCAGCGAAAGCGAGUCUGAAUAGGGCGACUGAGUACGUGGACGUAGACCCGAAACCGGGUGAUCUACCCCUGUCCAGGGUGAAGGUGCGGUAACACGCACUGGAGGCCCGAACCCACGCAUGUUGAAAAAUGCGGGGAUGAGGUGGGGGUAGCGGAGAAAUUCCAAUCGAACCCGGAGAUAGCUGGUUCUCCCCGAAAUAGCUUUAGGGCUAGCCUCGGAAAAAAGAAUCGUGGAGGUAGAGCACUGAUUGGGUGCGGGGCCCGCAAGGGUUACCAAGCUCAGUCAAACUCCGAAUGCCAUAGAUUUAGUUCCGGGAGUCAGACAGUGAGUGCUAAGAUCCAUUGUCGAAAGGGAAACAGCCCAGACCAUCAGCUAAGGUCCCCAAGUGUGUGUUAAGUGGGAAAGGAUGUGGAGUUGCACAGACAACCAGGAUGUUGGCUUAGAAGCAGCCACCAUUGAAAGAGUGCGUAAUAGCUCACUGGUCGAGUGACUCUGCGCCGAAAAUGUAACGGGGCUAAACACACCACCGAAGCUAUGGCUUGAUGCUUGCAUCAGGGGUAGGGGAGCGUUGAAUGCGGGUUGAAGGUGUACCGGAAGGAGCGCUGGACUGCAUUCAAGUGAGAAUGCCGGUAUGAGUAACGAAAAGAUCUGUGAGAAUCAGAUCCGCCGAAAGCCUAAGGGUUCCUGAGGAAGGUUCGUCCGCUCAGGGUAAGUCGGGACCUAAGGCGAGGCCGAUAGGCGUAGUCGAAGGACAACAGGUAGAAAUUCCUGUACCACCGUAAUCCGUGAUGAGCGAUGGGGUGACGCAGUAGGGUAGUGACGCGGACUGAUGGAUGUCCGUCUAAGCAGUGAGGCUGAUGUGUAGGCAAAUCCGCACAUCGUUAAGGCUGGGCUGUGAUGGGGAGCGAAAAUUAUAGUAGCGAAGGUCAUGAUCUCAGACUGCCAAGAAAAGCCUCUAGCCAGGAGAAGGUGCCCGUACCGCAAACCGACACAGGUAGGCGAGAAGAGAAUUCUAAGGCGCGCGGAAGAACUCUCGUUAAGGAACUCGGCAAAAUGACCCCGUAACUUCGGGAGAAGGGGUGCCUCGGUAGGGUGAAUAGCCCGAGGGGGCCGCAGUGAAAAGGCCCAAGCGACUGUUUAGCAAAAACACAGGUCUGUGCGAAGCCGCAAGGCGAAGUAUACGGGCUGACGCCUGCCCGGUGCUGGAAGGUUAAGGGGAGUGGUAAGCCUUCGGGCGAAGCUAUGAACCGAAGCCCCAGUAAACGGCGGCCGUAACUAUAACGGUCCUAAGGUAGCGAAAUUCCUUGUCAGGUAAAUUCGUUUCUCUUAUACACAUCUCCGAGCCCACGCUACGGACUCCUCUCUCGUUUGCCGUCUUCUGCUUGCUUAACAAACAUCUCUCAUAUUAACAUCUUCCCCCACGUUCACACAGCUCUCUAUUACCGUCCCCACGUUACAGCCUGGUACAUAAAUCA
rnacentral:rRNA from 1 species